ACCCACCUCCAACCCUGGGGGUUACAACUCAACAUGAGAUUUGGACUGGGUCACAGAUCCGAACCAUAUCGAGGAAGAAGCACCUAACUCAACCUCUCUGCUAGGAAAUUACCAACUGAGAAAUUCCCUUUGGAUGCUUCCCUGCCCUCAAGCCUCUCACUUCACCCUAAAGAAAAACCGGCGGUUGAUGUAGAACGAUGGGAUGGCCAUUUUCCCCCGAAGAAGUUUCUCUUUUGAACCUGGCCAACUUUUUCAAUCAUAUCUAUCGUUAGGAUUAUUGUUAUUCCGGAAUUGCAGGCAAUGUUUAAAUUUUGCACCCAGUACUAAAGACACAGCUUUUUAAGAUGUUUUAAAAACUUGAUUUCUAAAACAUGAAGACUUCAGGCCAGGACACUUUUCAAAAUCUUUCCUUGAAAGAUCUUAACUUUCAAGAUAUUGUAAGAAGCAUUUAAAAAGAACAUUACAAAACUAUAAAUAAGAGGUAUUGAAUGAUUUUCUCCAAGCUAUUUCUAAAAAGAAGCACUUAUUUAGGUAAUGUGCCAACAUUGUAACAAGGUUUAAAGGAUGGAUAUCUCACACAUGAGCAUGAAAAACUGUAAGUGUGUUUCACAUUUAUGAACCACAAAAUAAUGUGUUUCAAAUCUUUCUUACUACAUUGAAAGCAACAGCUGAAGAUCAUGAAGACAGUUCAACAAAGAAAUACAAGCUGGUGGCUUGCACCUGUAAUCCCAGCAACUCCGGAAGCUGAGGUUGGAGGAUUGCUUGAGCCCAGCAGUUCUAAGACCAGCACGGGCAUCAUAGUGAGACUUCAUCUCUAAAAAAAUUUUUUUUAAAUUAGCUGGGUGUAUAUUAAUACAUUUUGCAUUUCUAUAAAGGAA
ensembl:lncRNA novel transcript